rnacentral:rRNA from 1 species
AUGCUUCUCCGACCCCGCCCCUUCCUCCUGCAGGCCCUCACGCCUCUUCCCUUCUCCCGCGGCCCCCUCGCGGUCCGCCGCACGCUCUCGGCGCACGCCGCGGCAGCUGGGGCCGCCCCCCGCGGCGAUGCUCCCGCGCCGGCGCGAACCCGCCACAAGAACUCCCGGAAGGCCGAGCCGCCUAGGUUGCCCGCGGAUACGGCGCUGUUUUUCCCGCCGGGGAUAGACCGGGACGCGGCUGUGGCGGCGGAGAUGUUGAUUCCGGGGUCGAACAUCGUGGUGGGGCCGUACGCCGGGGACGCGAGGGUAAAGGAGGCUGAGUUCAUCGGGUGCAGCGCGCACGCCCGGGACUGCCCCAAGGACGACCGUCCCGAGUUCGCCGUCCUCGGCCGCUCCAACGUCGGCAAGUCCUCUCUCAUCAAUACACUCACUCGACGCAAGGAAGUCGCACUCACCUCCAAGAAACCUGGGAAGACUCAAACAAUUAACCACCAUUUGAUCAACAAGAGUUGGUACCUUGUGGAUUUGCCUGGUUAUGGGUUUGCAGCUGCGUCCAAGACAGCUCGAACGGAUUGGUCUUCAUUUACCAAGGGGUAUUUCUUGAACAGGGACACUUUGGUCGGUGUACUGCUCCUUGUUGAUGCUAGUGUUCCAACUCAGCAAAUUGACCUUGACUGUGCUAACUGGCUUGGUCGUAACAAUGUCGGGCUAACCUUUGUCUUCACCAAGUGCGACAAAGUAAAGAAAGGCAAAGGGGGUCGGCCUGAUGAGAACAUCAAAGUAUUCCUGGAGAACAUCGGUUCGCUCUAUCCAAAGCCUCCUCCAUGGAUCAUGACGAGCAGCACCACAGGACUAGGCCGCGACGGGCUGCUCCUCCAUAUGUCGCAGCUGAGGAACUACUGGGACAAUGAGGCAACCUAG